AACUGAUUUCCUCAGGGAGACUAACAUCUCAUUCAAACCACAGCAGCCUGCGAAAGCUAGGCUUCAUUCUUGUGUGUGUGUCCAGGAUCUUUCGUGGGCCCAAAGAAGUGAAGAGGGUCUUUACUGCCUUACCGCUAGUAUUUGCCACAGAAGCAGAAGCGAAGGACCAAGACAUCUUACAGAAGAAAGGGUUUACAGUUCCAGAGUGAUGAGCAUUCCUGGUGACAGAGUUGAAGCAUGGAGCAUGACAGCAAGUGACAGGCAAGACUACAUAGACAAGGAGGAAACUGAGAGCUCACACUUGACAAAGCAGAGAAUGCGAACUGGAGUGUAAACUGAAGACCAGAAGCUGACCUUUGGAGACAUCUAGUCCAGCAGAGCAGCUGCUGCAUUCUCAGUAUCUUCAACGUGAGACAACCAUGUCGGAAAACCCAACCCAUAUCACUUUCAGGUUCUGAUGUCACUGUCUGGCCCAAGGCCCCUGCAUGCAGUGGUGCUCCUGCAUAUGAACUCACAUAAGCGCAAGCAAACACAUAAAAACAAAAAGAUAAAGUUUCACAGCGAAACAUUCACACCACAGCAUGGACGCUUCUCUCUGCACUUGGACAUAUUUUCAGUGGAAAGAAGAGAAUGCAGACAAAAAAAGUCAGAUGCUCCUGUCAAUGCCUGCCUGUGGAUGCCAUCACCUCCGUAGGCCACAAGUUCACGGGAAGUAGAUCCCUGAACAUCUCACACCUCACAACGGUCGUCUAGGCUAGAUGAAAUAGCUCUUCUGCCUUGAAAGAUCUCCCGAGUGUGUGUCAGCCACCUGUGAGUCCAAAGCCUUACCAACUGGUACUCGGCGAAGAUUCUGCCUGCAGCCCAAAACUGAGCAAGCUCUCUCUUAGUCUAUGCCUGUGUCACAACCUAAUCAUCCCAGCGACGAUCACCUCCCACUCCCCUCGCAGAGUGCCCACUCGCUUAAAACGCACUGGCUGUAAUGUUUAUUACCCAGUGAGGACACCAGUGUUAUUGAUAGCAGCAAUAAGGAUACCAUCAAACAUGAAUGUUCACAUUCAGCAAGG
rnacentral:lncRNA from 1 species